rnacentral:rRNA from 1 species
AGUGAACGCUGGCGGUAGGCCUAACACAUGCAAGUCGAACGGCAGCACAGUAAGAGCUUGCUCUUACGGGUGGCGAGUGGCGGACGGGUGAGGAAUACAUCGGAAUCUACUUUUUCGUGGGGGAUAACGUAGGGAAACUACGCUAAUACCGCAUACGACCUACGGGUUAAAGCCGGGGAUCUUCGGACCUUUCGCGAUUGAAUGAGCCGAUGUCGGAUUUGCUAGUUGGCGGGGUAAAGGCCCACCAAGGCGACGAUCCGUAGCUGGUCUGAGAGGAUGAUCAGCCACACUGGAACUGAGACACGGUCCAGACUCCUACGGGAGGCAGCAGUGGGGAAUAUUGGACAAUGGGCGCAAGCCUGAUCCAGCCAUACCGCGUGGGUGAAGAAGGCCUUCGGGUUGUAAAGCCCUUUUGUUGGGAAAGAAAAGCAGCAGGUUAAUACCCCGCUGUUCUGACGGUACCCAAAGAAUAAGCACCGGCUAACUUCGUG